rnacentral:rRNA from 1 species
UCUGGAAACGGAUGGUAAUACCUCAUAAUGUAGUUUUACCGCAUGAUGGAACUACCAAAGAUUUAUCACUCAAAGAUGGGCUCGCGUCUGAUUAGAUAGUUGGUGAGGUAACGGCUCACCAAGUCGACGAUCAGUAGCCGGACUGAGAGGUUGAACGGCCACAUUGGGACUGAGACACGGCCCAGACUCCUUCGGGAGGCAGCAGUGGGGAAUAUUGCACAAUGGGGGAAACCCUGAUGCAGCGAUGCCGCGUGGAGGAAGAAGGUUUUCGGAUUGUAAACUCCUGUCUUAAAGG